CAGGAAUAUAGAUACACUUGAUGAUCCAAUAAUUGAAAUGGAAACAUGUGGUAACAGUGGACUAUAGUGUGGAACAAACCAAGGACAACAACAGACUUUGCUCAUCCAAGAACAGUGGCAGAUACAAGAUAACAGAAAAAUAUCAGAAAAUGGUAUCAAAGUGGACAGUCAUUUUUUAUGGGAGAAUUAUCAUCUGAUUGGAGACUUGAACGGACUGUGAAGUGUAGGGAUUUCAACCCUUUGACCUGGGAUAUCAUAGUAUUCAAGUGGAAUGCAAUAGAGAAAAUGAUUGUGUCCUUGCUUCAGAAGGCAGUUAGGAAGCCAAGAGAAAAAUCAGAAAGAAAGAAAGUUGCUACAAAGCAAAAAGGUCCAUAGCACUAAAGAUAAAGAUAAAAGAUUAAGACAGUCCACUUACAUACUUACAUGGACAAUCCAAUACUGAUGUCUUGUGAAGAGGUACACAGCUUUGAACUCCGUUGAUGUCACCCUUACCCUUACACUCACACAACCUCAAUGACACCAGAUGGCUAUUUUUGCAUUAAGAGAGAUGUCUCUGAUCACAGUAAAAACAGUUUUGUUGUAAGGUGGCCAGAUAGAAUUGAGGAGAGAGAAAUGGAUCAAUAUCAUCAUCCUAUUAUCAUUUUAUCAAAUUUUCCAGAAAAUGAAUCUAAAGAGCUGUUAAAAAUCAUUUGAGAGAUGUCUCUGAUUACAGUAAGAACAGUUUAUGUUGUAACAGUGGCCAGAUAGAAUUGAGGAGAGAGAAAUGGAUCAAUGGUGUCCUAUUAUCAUUUUAUCAAAUUUUCCAGAAAAUGAAUCUAAAGAGCUGUUAAAAAAUCAUUUUGCAGCAUUGUGGACAACGGACUGAAGGAUGGUUGGCAAAUGGACAGAUGGACAUCUAUCAACCCUAAAAGUGCACCACUGCUCGUCUGAGAAAAAUCAUCAAUGCUAGAAAUGUGUAAAAUAUUUUGAAACAGGACCAUCUGUGAAACAACCUUGUUGGGUUUCGUCAGUUUCACGACAUGGUUUGAGAGCAGAUACCACUGAAGAAAAUAUGAACAAACAACAAAGAGUUAGUGAUCAUAGUAGCUCAAUUUUGAGCAAUUCGUACAAUGAUGAACAGUGAAAACAACACUUUUUAAUUAAGUUCAAAAAUAAGUAAACUUGUUACAAAACAAUGAACUCUCUUCAAGAGUUCCCUUUAAAUACAUACACCUUGCAUGCAUUUAUAUUUCAUAGAAACAAAACAUGGACACCUUUUCAUUAAUGAAAUAUUUAUUUAUCAAAAUUCAACAACAAAAGGAUCAUGAUGGUCCUGAAUCGCUCACCUGUCCCCACAUGACCCAG
rnacentral:lncRNA from 1 species